rnacentral:rRNA from 1 species
GACGGGAGGAUGCAAGUGUUAUCCGGAAUCACUGGGCGUAAAGCGUCUGUAGGUGGUUUAAUAAGUCAACUGUUAAAUCUUGAGGCUCAACCUCAAAAUCGCAGUCGAAACUAUUAGGCUAGAGUAGUAGUAGGGGUAAAGGGAAUUUCCAGUGGAGCGGUGAAAUGCGUAGAGAUUGGAAAGAACACCGAUGGCGAAGGCACUUUACUGGGCUAUUACUAACACUCAGAGACGAAAGCUAGGGUAGGCAAAUGGG